ACAGAUAACGGCGAGUGAAGCGGCAACAGCUCAAAUUUGAAAUCUGGCCUCUUUGGGGUCCGAGUUGUAAUUUGUAGAGGAUGUUUCGGGCACCGCUCCGGUUUAAAUUUCUUGGAACAGAAUGUCAAAGAGGGUGAGAACCCCGUCUUGGACCGGCAGUAGGGCCCAUGUGAAACUCCUUCGACGAGUCGAGUUGUUUGGGAAUGCAGCUCAAAAUGGGUGGUAAAUUUCAUCUAAAGCUAAAUAUUGGCCAGAGACCGAUAGCGCACAAGUAGAGUGAUCGAAAGAUGAAAAGCACUUUGAAAAGAGAGUUAAACAGUACGUGAAAUUGUUGAAAGGGAAGCGCUUGCAACCAGACUUGCGCGCGGCGGUUCCCCCUUCCUUUUGGUUGGGUUAUUCCGCCGUGUCCAGGCCAACAUCGGUUCUGGGGGUCGGUUAAAGGCCUGGGGAAUGUAUCUACCCUUCGGGCGUAGACUUAUAGCCCCGGGUGUCAUGCGACCUCCCGGGACCGAGGAACGCGCUUCGGCUCGGAUGUUGGCGUAAUGGUUGUCAGCGACCCGUCUUGAAACACGGACCAAGGAGUCUAACAUCUAUGCGAGUGUUUGGGUGUCAAACCCGGAACGCGGAAUGAAAGUGAACGGAGGUAGGAAGCUUCGGCUGCACUAUCGACCGAUCCUGAUGUCUUCGGAUGGAUUUGAGUAAGAGCAUAGCUGUUGGGACCCGAAAGAUGGUGAACUAUGCCUGAAUAGGGUGAAGCCAGAGGAAACUCUGGUGGAGGCUCGCAGCGGUUCUGACGUGCAAAUCGAUCGUCAAAUUUGGGUAUAGGGGCGAAAGACUAAUCGAACCAUUAAAAAGUUACCGGUGGUUAAGUGUAACCGUGAAAGCGGUUGCAAGUGCCAGGUUCUGGCGCGACACUGUCAAUUGCGGGGACUCCCUAAGCUUCCGACGACCGCCUCGCCCACGAAAGUGGGAGUGAGGCACAGGUUAAUGGCCUCGGGUAUGGUAAACUGUCGA
rnacentral:rRNA from 1 species